rnacentral:rRNA from 1 species
AGCGAACGCUGGCGGCAGGCUUAACACAUGCAAGUCGAGCGGGCAUCCUUGUGGUGUCAGCGGCAGACGGGUGAGUAACGCGUGGGAACGUGCCCUUCGGUUCGGAAUAACUCAGGGAAACUUGAGCUAAUACCGGAUACGUGCGAGAGCAGAAAGGUUUAUCUGCCGAAGGAUCGGCCCGCGUCUGAUUAGCUAGUUGGUGAGGUUAUGGCUCACCAAAGCGACGAUCAGUAGCUGGUCUGAGAGGAUGGUCCGCCACACUGGGGCGGAGACACGGCCCGGAACUCUUCGGGAGGGAGGAAGGGGGGAUAAUGGAACAAGGGGGGAACCCUGAACCCGCCCGGGCGGGAGAGGUGUUGAGGCCUUAAGGGUUGAAAACCUGUUUAUCCCGGGCGGAUAUGACGGUACCCGAAGAAUAAGCCCCGGCUAACUUCGUG